GACGAACCGAGCGAACGUUGUUCGGAAUCACUGGGCUUAAAGGGCGCGUAGGCGGGUGCUCAAGUCUGUGGUGAAAUCCUCCGGCUCAACCGGAGAACGGCCAUGGAUACUGGGCGCCUCGAGGGUGAUAGGGGUAUGCGGAACUAUCGGUGGAGCGGUGAAAUGCGUUGAUAUCGAUAGGAACUCCGGUGGCGAAGGCGGCAUACUGGAUCACUUCUGACGCUGAGGCGCGAAAGCCAGGGGAGCGAACGGG
rnacentral:rRNA from 1 species